UACGUAGGGUGCGAGCGUUGUCCGGAAUUAUUGGGCGUAAAGAGCUUGUAGGCGGUUUGUCGCGUCUGCCGUGAAAGCCCAGGGCUUAACCCUGGGUCUGCGGUGGGUACGGGUAGACUAGAGUGUGGUAGGGGAGACUGGAAUUCCUGGUGUAGCGGUGAAAUGCGCAGAUAUCAGGAGGAACACCGAUGGCGAAGGCAGGUCUCUGGGCCACUACUGACGCUGAGAAGCGAAAGCAUGGGGAGCAAACAGG
rnacentral:rRNA from 1 species